GCCCCGUUAGCUCAAUUGGACAGAGCAUCGGAUUUCUAAUCCGAGUGUUACAGAUUCGAAUUCUGUACGGGGUGCCA
rnacentral:tRNA from 24 species